AAAAUGGGUCCCUGGUAUAAAUCUUAAAAAAACUCACCCCAAAGCAUACCAAUAAAAUAAAAUAAAAAUCAAUGUAUUCUGUAAAUUACAAAUACAGUGCACAUAGCAUAUUAUAGGUAUACAAUAACAUGUUUAGCCAAGGAGUUAAAUUUAUAAAUGCUGGUUUAAAAAAGUGAUCAUUUUAAAUUAAUGCCAGAUUAUCUCAUUAAUUGAAAUAUAUAUUUUUAAAACAGCUAUUCUGCUUGUUAUUUGCUAUUUAUUAUGGGCUCAUUAGUUCAGAAAUUGGGAAAUACUUUUACAAAGGUACCAAAGACAUAAAUUUGAAACCAGAAUGCCAGCAUAUGUAACCAAUGUCAAGGGUAUUGAACAGACUGAGUCAGAGGUUACCCAGAGCUCAGUUUCUGCAAAGGUCACCAAAAUGAAGAGGAAAAUGUAGAAAAAGGGGUCGAUGGAAGUUUUAAAAUAUACAUGGAGAUCCA
rnacentral:lncRNA from 1 species